GCGAAAGUGCGUUCUCCGCAGUACAGUUUGCCAAUUGAAGACAGAGACGAAAAACUUCACAUCGUGUUUUGAAACUGUCAGAACAAAUAGGUUCUGGCGGAGUUCAGCCGUAUAUCUGGCAAAAACCUGCAAAGGGAAUUCUUUUAAGAACUUGACUAUUUCCUUCAAUAUCUUCCUUGAUAUCUUCAAGGCCAAAGGGGGAUACGGCUGUAAACUCAAGAAGAUUCCACAACAGGUUGACAAUAAUAAGUCUGACACCAAUGAAAGGCGAACUGCUGUUUCUUCAUGGCCUCCCACUCCUCCUCGGAGAGGAUCCCAUUGAUUUUUACAAUACGACAGAGAUGAUGAAGAAGGGUUGUCCAGCAUUUCAAUCGGCAUUUUGUGUCAGUGAUCCUUGAGGACUGUGAAUCCAUACUGUACUCACUAAACCUUAUUUUGGAAGGUAAACAUUGUAAUGGAUAACCUGGGAAAUCUUCCCAAAGCCAUGUGCAUCCUCUUUGGGCUCAUUUAUGCCCUGAAUUUAGAGUAUCCCCCAGUACUGAAGAACACUUUAGAUUUCAUCCAAAGGGUGCUUUUGUCACUUGGCCACAAGUCUCAAAACUCUUCUACUGCAGUUAUGUAACUGCCAUGACAGAGCAUUUUCAUUGUUCAUGAUUAACCACUUUAAGUUACAAAAAUGGUAGAGCACAACUGAAAAUGUAUUUUAUUUCCUGUUGGAAAACGUACUUAAAAGGACAGUUCACCCACAUAUUUAAAUUCUUAUAUAAUUUUCUCACCCUCAGACUAGGGGUGUGCGAUAUGCCGAUAUUAGAUCGCGAACGAUUAAAAUGACUGCACGAUCCACUUUUUCGGGAAAAUCAUUAAAUCGUCCUAUAUAGUAGUGUUCUAUAAAAUUCGUCAACAUACUUGCGAUAGAUUGCGCCAUGUUAACAAGCUUGUAUAUGUUGCUUGUGAAUUCAGUAAGAUUAAGUGACGCGGUCAGUGAAGAUGGAGGGAAACACGGAGGACUUGGUCCCUAAAAAAAAUUCUACAUCAGUAAUAUUGAAAUGGUUUGGGUUUUCCCCAACUGACACGGCCCAAACAACAGUUAUUUGCAAAUGUGGCAAUGAUAAGAUUCGAGCGUCGUAAGGCAACACAACGAACCUUUUUAACCACCUCAAAAUAAAGGGACUGAAAGAGUAUGCCGACAAUCAAAUUAUAAAGGGAUCCCAAGCGAGUAAAUCAGGUACAACCAAGCAUACGGAAACUAAAAGGCUUAAACAACGACUUUAGCGAAAGAACCAUUUGAGAAAAAAAAACACGUAUCAGUAUGACAGAAUGAACAAGCGCUGGAAAGAUGUCACUGACGCGGUCGCAUUUUACCUGGCCAAAGACAUGAUUCCCAUAAAGACUGUGGAAAAUGAGGGCUUUAAAAAACUGCUCAAAGUCGUGGAUCCACGUUACGAAAUUUUUUUUCUAGAUCGCCCACCCCUACCUCAGACUGUUCCAAACCUAGGUAAAUUAAUUUGUUCUGCUAAACACAAAAUAAUAUAUUUGGAAGAUUGUCAGAAACUGAGCAGAUCUCAUCCCGACUCCUAUAGUGUUUAUUAUUUCCCUACUAUGACAGUAAAUGGGGGAUGCGAUUUGUUUUGUAAUUGACAUUCUUCCAAAUACCUUUCUCUGUGUUCAUCAGAACAAAGAAAUUAAUACAGGUUUGGAACAAUCUGAGGGUGAGUAAAUGAUGACAGAAUUUGCAUUGGUAAGUGAGCUUUCACUUUAAUGUUAAUGUUAAACAUGCUUAAUGUUUAGUGGUUGGUUUUAGUAACAUUUUAGAUGUUUUUUGAUGUUUGAUAAAGAGAACAAAAAAUGUGUUCUUUACUAAAAUACUUAGUCUUCAAUGUGCCUCAGUACUUCAUUUUACCUCUGUGAAAAGGGGACAGCGAUAUUUUUCUUUCUAAAGUGUACUGGAAAAUGUACUUUGUUUCUUGUUUCGAACUUGACAGUUUGAUUAAUGUGAAGUGUUUUUUUUAAAUAAGACAAGAUAUAUUUUUGUUAGACAAGACAAGAAAAUAAACUGUACUUAAUUAGUUUACAGAGUAGUCUACUUUGUUUCCAAAUUUGCAUUAUACCUCUUUAUAAAAAAGUUACAUUUGUGAAAAGGGUAGACUGUUCUAUUUUGCAAUGGAGUACAGUAUGUGCAUUUUUGGUAAAAUCAUGUCAAGUC